rfam:Clostridium bornimense replicon M2/40_rep1, complete genome, type strain M2/40T
CGCGGGGUGGAGCAGUUGGCAGCUCGUCGGGCUCAUAACCCGAAGGUCGCAGGUUCAAGUCCUGCCUCCGCAA